UAUCGCAGAAAGCACAACAUAAGCAUUGACAAAAAGCAUCAAAUGCACAUGUGUUCAGCACAGAGAUUCUUGAUUUCCCAAUUUUAACAGGCUGUUGAUUAUUUCCAUUUUUCAACAGUUCCACUUUUAGUUUUUUCCCUUUCACAGAUGAAUCUGCAUGGAGCCAUUCAGGACAGGGAGAGAGGUAUGAACUCAUCUUCCUCUUUUUGGGUGGAACUGCUAGGCCUCUCCAGUUUUCAACCGCAUCUUCAUCGGCUGGAUGGAUGUUUAUGACAGCAUCAGAGGUCUCAGAACAGGAAGCAUCCAUUUCUGGCUUUACAUCUACACUGCAAGUUGUGAACAAAUUCGCAUGUUGCCUUCAAUGAAGGACAGAUGUUGAGCAAUGAAUCUAUCCACCCUAAUUGGCAAGUUUUCAUGCUUGAAAAGGCCGCGCUUGAUGUUUUUGAAUUCUGCUUCAACAUUGGCUGAACUUGCGGUAAUGUUGGUGCUUCGGAAGUGAGGGACCAUUACUGCUGUCCAGAGUGGCAAGUAACUUGCAAGCCAGAUUAUAUUAGGAAUAAUCUCAGGGAGGAAGUGCAUAUUAUCGUGAUCACCAUUACCGCUGGCAAGCGACCUGCUCUCUUCACAUAUGUCUAUGACCCACUGCCGUAGGUCUGUCUGUGUUUGGUCACAUGGAUCCUCUUCUCCCAGGUCCUUGCCCUCUAGAUCUGGGAUGAUGGCACACUCUUCUGCAAUCCGGGAUUUCAGCAGCCCCACUGGCAGAUCGUCUUGAUGCAGUGUGCAACAUCAACCCGAACAAAACAAGGUGGCACUUUUGCUGACUGUUUACCAAGUAAGACACCACAACACUCAUUGAUGUAGCUCUUCAGAUCAGGAUAUGGAGUGAAAGACUUGACCAGAGCUCCGAGCAAAGCUAGAGAAAAGUCACUCACAACCUCUUUUGGAGUUGGUGCACCUGCACGUAUCCACUCUUUCAACCAAUGUGUUAUUGCAUUAACAUCAUGUCUCUCUGACAGCAUUUGCACCACUGGGACACUAGAGCUCUCCUCUCCUGCCAGAACUCCCUGAUAUAAAAAGAUAUGGCCAGACAUGCCAGUUGGUCUUGUUAGUUUCCUCACUACUGAGCCAGUUGCAUCAAAACUGACAGUGGGGGUGGCCAAAUUAGGGAGAUGACUUGGCUCAGGAUCUCCAAAAUCCAUCAGUUUUGUUGCCUCUGUUGCCCUCCAGACAUGGGGUUCCAUUCUACCCUCACACAGUUCUUUGGCUAUCUGCACACGCAAAUUACCAGACAUUGCACGCUUUGAACCACCAGUGUGCAGGGAGUUAUUUGUGUUUUUAAUUAAACACUUAAACACCAUUGGGCUGUUUAUUUCAGGCUUUUUGUCGCAUUUCAUGUGAAUCAGGCCAUUGCACUCCUUACAGUUACCUCUGAUUUCAAUGUAUUUCUCUGUGGCUGAUGGAUAGACCUUGGCUCUUUUAAAGGCAAAAGUGCAGGUGCUUUUCACCUCUUGCCAAAUGUAAUGAUUUAUCACAUGUGUCCAGUUGCCAGGCUUCAAAACUGUGUAUUCCCUUUUUUGUGUUUUACUGAACUUGUUUUUGUAUUCAACCGUUUCAGGGAUGAAUUCAAUCCAUUUCUGAAAUGGAACUUCAAGACCAAAAGCCCAGCAAUCUUUUGGUCUUUGGGAAAGGGACCCUGGCUCAAAAUCAGUGUCAUCACUACUGCCACUUGCUUCAUGAUCACUUUCAUAAGUAAACUCUAAAGCAGCCCAGAUGUUGUGUCUGUUUAAUUUAACAAACGUGUAUAGCGCCUUUGGGGUGAUCUUGUUUUCUAGCUGCUUACUAAGCUCUGUCCAGAUGCUCUGACUGGGAGUAGCUAUGUUGCCAUUUUGGACUAUGGCCUCUUUUGAUAAACACAGCACCGUGAAAAUGGACUCCUUGUCAACCACUGGUUUCUUGGGCAUCUGGCAUAAGCAAAACAUAAUUACUUAAUGUCAUAGAGUAAACUUGUUUUCAUAUUUUACUGUAUGGGUCUGAAUAUUUGUAUAAUUUAAUAUAGUUAUAACAUAAUGUAUCCUAUAUUAGGACAUAUGGUAGAUGCACAACGUAUUUAAAUACCCAAAAUAGGUGACAUGAGUUUUCUGUUCAACACACAUUGACAAUCUUAGCUCUUUUGAAUGUUGUACCAUUAUCCUUGAACUUAGCUUAUAAUAUUGUUACUGACAGUGUUAAAACAUACUUACAUUGGCCAGAAAAUAUAUUUCCUCCACCAACUCUAGACUGGUUUAGAGCCUCUUACGCGCCUAGUGUUAGGAGUAGUGUUGCAAGUGAUAGGGUGGAGUGGGGAGAGCGCCCCCUUGAGGCAAAAGCAAAUGGCUGGCUGAAUUCAGAAUCGCAUUUGAACAUGCAUUAUUUAUAUUAUUUGUACCAUGGGCAUCUUUGCUUUGUUACUUAUAUGUGAGGGAAGUAGCAUAAAUCCAAUCGCAAGUGAUCAUCACGAGGCGAAUCAUGCACCUGAAUGUGUCUUAGAAACAAGUUUGUAUAGUGUUUAUAAUCUAUGCUAUUAGUAGGUGGAGGUAAAUGCACUAUUUUCAGAGCACAUUUCAAUUUUAGAGAAUAAAAAUGACUCGCUGUGACUUAGCAGUAGAGAUUUUAUUUUUUUCUUUAAAAACAAAAAUCACAAUUCUUUCCAAAAUUUUCUUUACAAUACCAAAAGGAAAAACAAAAAAGACUUGGUAGUUAUAUUUACGUUUCUGUGCACAAAUAUAUUAA